UACGUAGGGUGCAAGCGUUUAAUCGGAAUUACUGGGCGUAAAGCGUGCGCAGGCGGUUGUGCAAGACAGAUGUGAAAGCCCCGGGCUCAACCUGGGAAUUGCGAUGAAGACUGCAAGGCUUGAAUCUGGCAGAGGGGGGUAGAAUUCCACGUGUAGCAGUGAAAUGCGUAGAGAUGUGGAGGAACACCGAUGGCGAAGGCAGCCCCCCUGGGUCAAGAUUGACGCUCAUGCACGAAAGCGUGGGGAGCAAACAGG
rnacentral:rRNA from 1 species